CCCAUGGCAGAGGCUGCAAUGCCACACUCAGGCACCUAAAUAAAUGGCCUGACCUUUCUCAAAUGCUGAAUACCAAGAACUCCUCACUCGAAUCUGCCGAAGCCGUGGCUGUUCAGCUCCUCUGAAAAUCAAUCCACUCGUUUAGAUGCCUGAAUAUGAAUGUUAGUGCCAGACUUUGGACAGUGACAUAGGAAGAUAUUGGCCUGAGCCUAUGCAUGGACUCUCAUCCUACAAUCCAGCCCCUCAACAGAUACAUCCCAGCUUCUGACUGUGAGCCAUUCAGCUACAAUGGGGAGGCCUAGAUGCUAGGCCCACAUGAGAGAGGGAAGGAUUUCAGGCCCAAGGCCCAAGUGGGGCAGGAAGAAGCACACACUCACCUCAGUUGCCUUCUUUGCUGAGGGCGCACUGUCCAGCACACCGGCAGACAGACCCAGAUCAGA